AGUCAUAUGCUUGUCUCAAAGAUUAAGCCAUGCAUGUCUAAGUAUAAGUUCUUUACUGCGAAACUGUGAAUGGCUCAUUAUAACAGUUAUGAUUUCCUAGCCGGUCAGUGAUUCAUUGGAUACCCAUGGUAAUUCUAGAGCUAAUACAUGCUUACAAACCCAACUUCACGGAAGGGUUGCGCUUAUUAGAUACCGAACCAGCCCAGGCUCUGCCUGGUUUUUGUUGAUUCAUAGUAGUCUGGCGAAUCGCCUAUCGAGGCGAUGAGGCUAUCAAGUUUCUGACCUAUCAGCUUCCGACGGUAGGGUAUUGGCCUACCGUGGCUUUGACGGGUAACGGAGAAUUAGGGUUCGAUUCCGGAGAGGGAGCCUGAGAAACGGCUACCACAUCUAAGGAAGGCAGCAGGCGCGUAAAUUACCCAAUCCUGACACAGGGAGGUAGUGACAAGAAAUAUCAAUAUAAGACUUUUAUGUCUUGUAAUUGGGAUGAGCGAAACAUAAACCGCUUCUCGAGUAUCAAU
rnacentral:rRNA from 1 species